GAUGAACGCUGGCGGCGUGCCUAAUACAUGCAAGUCGAGCGAACAGACGAGGAGCUUGCUCCUCUGACGUUAGCGGCGGACGGGUGUGUAACACGUGGAUAACCUACCUAUAAGACUGGGAUAACUUCGGGAAACCGGAGCUAAUACCGGAUAAUAUAUUGAACCGCAUGGUUCAAUAGUGAAAGACGGUUUUGCUGUCACUUAUAGAUGGAUCCGCGCCGCAUUAGCUAGUUGGUAAGGUAACGGCUUACCAAGGCAACGAUGCGUAGCCGACCUGAGAGGGUGGUCGGCCACACUGGAACUGGGACACGGUCCAGACUCCUACGGGAGGCAGCAGUAGGGAAUCUUCCGCAAUGGGCGGAAGCCUGACGGAGCAACGCCGCGUGAGUGGUGAAGGUCUUCGGAUCGUAAAACUCUGUUAUUAGGGAAGAACAAAUGUGUAAGUAACUAUGCACGUCUUGACGGUACCUAAUCAGAAAGCCACGGCUAACUACGUG
rnacentral:rRNA from 1 species